GCCACUUAGACUUUUCUUCACACUCUUGCUGCUCAGUUGUGGAAGAAAGCAACCCAUGUGCAUUAAUACAUGGCCUGUCAAAUACAUCAAGGUGAAUUCGGCUGUUCAUUGAGGCUCUAUGAUAUACAACUUCUUUAUGAGAAAUGGUUGGCGUGUGGCAUCAUAUCAAGCUAUAGUCAGCCUCUUCAAGUACUCAUGUAAUCAAUCUAAAGACAAUUCUAAUCUAGCUAGUAUGUUCUAUAUUUGAAAACUAGUUUAAUUAUACUAUGAUUUUGUAAUAUUUAUUUAAUUGAUAUAAUAAACUAUAUGAAUGUUUUUGUUUA